rnacentral:SRP_RNA from 1 species
GCCAGGCAUGGUGGCUCAUGCCUGUAAUCCUAGCACUUUGGGAGGCUGAGGUGGGCGGAUCACCUGAGGUCAGGAGUUCAAGACCAGCCUGGCCAACAUGGUGAAACCCCAUCUCUA